rnacentral:rRNA from 1 species
AGUGAACGCUGGCGGUAGGCCUAACACAUGCAAGUCGAACGGCAGCACAGUAAGAGCUUGCUCUUACGGGUGGCGAGUGGCGGACGGGUGAGGAAUACAUCGGAAUCUACUUUUUCGUGGGGGAUAACGUAGGGAAACUUACGCUAAUACCGCAUACGACCUACGGGUGAAAGCAGGGGAACUUCGGACCUUGCGCGAUUGAAUGAGCCGAUGUCGGAUUAGCUAGUUGGCGGGGUAAAGGCCCACCAAGGCGACGAUCCGUAGCUGGUCUGAGAGGAUGAUCAGCCACACUGGAACUGAGACACGGUCCAGACUCCUACGGGAGGCAGCAGUGGGGAAUAUUGGACAAUGGGGGCAAGCCUGAUCCAGCCAUACCGCGUGGGUGAAGAAGGCCUUCGGGUUGUAAAGCCCUUUUGUUGGGAAAGAAAAGCAGCAGGUUAAUACCCCGCUGUUCUGACGGUACCCAAAGAAUAAGCACCGGCUAACUUCGUG